AUGGCUCAGAACGAACGCUGGCGGCGCGUCUUAAGCAUGCAAGUCGAACGGCAAGAGGUAGCAAUACCUCCUAGAGUGGCGGACUGGUGAGUAACACGUGGGUGACAUACCCGUUCAGGAUGGGGGAUAGCUAUUAGAAAUAGUAGAUAAUACCGAAUACGAGCACAGGGGUUAGAGAUCUGUGAGGAAAGGAGCUAAGGCUCCGCUGAAGGAAUGGCCUGCGGCCCAUUAGCUAGUUGGUGAGGUAAGAGCCCACCAAGGCGAUGAUGGGUAUCCGGCCUUAGAGGGUGAACGGACACAUUGGGACUGAGAUACGGCCCAGACUCCUACGGGAGGCAGCAGCUAAGAAUAUUCCGCAAUGGACGAAAGUCUGACGGAAGCGACGCCGCGUGGAUGAAGAAGGCCGGAAGGUUGUAAAUUCUUUUCGGGAGGGGAACAACCGUGGCAGGGAAUGGCCGCGGGAUGACGUGAAUCCCGGAAUAAGCCCCGGCUAACUACGUGCCAGCCGCGGC
rnacentral:rRNA from 1 species